UCUUAAAAGACUACUCAAAAUUCAUAAAUUCCCAUCCAACACUAAGAAAACAGACUUCACUUUAACCAAUCUGGAUUCACAAAAUUUUUAUAAUCACAGACUACCUCUGUCUAAAACACACGCAACUCUCGAUAAACAACAAUCAUAAUCUUUCAAUCAUAAUCAAUCUUCUAAUAACUUCUCAUAUAAUUCAAUCACAUGAUAUUCCAAUUACAUAAUCAAUAACUCAUAAAUCAAUCUUUGAUUUAUUCCACAGACUCACUUCUCAGUAUUCAAAAACUAUCCAUUACUCUUCAAUAACAAAAAUAAUAAAGAAAACAAAGAGGUAGCACCAAGCUUAACUCC
rnacentral:lncRNA from 1 species